rnacentral:misc_RNA from 1 species
GAUGAAGAACGCAGUGAAAUGCGAUAAGUAAUGCGAAUUGCAGAAUCCGUGAGUCAUCGAAUCUUUGAACGCACAUUGCGCCCCUUGGUAUUCCGGGGGGCAUGCCUGUUCGAGCGUCAUUAUAACCCCUCAAGCUCAGCUUGGUGUUGGGGCCUGCCGACUGGCAGCCCUUAAAAUCAGUGGCGGCGCCAUCUGGCUCUAAGCGUAGUAAUUUCUCUCGCUAUAGAGUCCCGGUGGAUGCUUGCCAGCAACCCCCAACUUUCUAUGGUUGACCUCGGAUCAGGUAGGGAUACCCGCUGAACUUAAGCAUAUCAAUAAGCGGAGGA